UAUUACAUUAUAUUAUAUUAUAUUUGAAAAUAUAAAAAUUAUAUUCAUUUUAAUCAUUUAAUAUGAAUUUUCACAGCACUACAGUAAAUCUUUUGGACCCAUAUUAUUAUCUUUGUUAUUAUAUUAUAAAUAAGAGUAAGUGCAGUUUAAUUGAGAUUAAUUGGAAUGCACAAUGAAAAGACAUGCUUUUUGAAAAUAGCUAAAAAUGGAGUUAUCUGUUUUUGCAAAUGAACUCUUCAGAUGAUUCCUAGUGAAGUAGUAACACUGCUCUGUGAGGUUUGUGAAUGAUGUCCCGCUGUGUCCUGCAGAGACGUGAAGAGCUCCAGUGGAGAAAUCUCUCCGUACGAUAACAACUCUCCGGUGCUCUCCGAGUGGUUUCAUCCAUCAGCACCGGAGGAUCACAGGCCCUCAGAUGCUCUCGAUAGGACCAACACAGUGAACUUCUGCCUCUCACCCUCACAAGCCGGCACCGGGGAAACAGUACAUGAUAAGGCUCAUAUCUGGCGAACACGACAGGCUCUUCUGUCAGGACUUCAUGACAAACUCCUCACAGGUACGAGAUAAAACACAUGUCAGUCAGAGGAAUAACUGAUACAUAUACAGCAUUCAUAAAGAACACUGAAUUUCACUACUGCUGUCAAAAAAACUAUGCAUGUCAGCUUUAGUACUUUUGAAAGAGCACCACAUACUUGUAUUCUGUAUUGUGCAUUACAUGCUGUAUUGGAUGUUGAUUUUAAUAAUGCAUCAAUAAAUGUUGAAAUUAAUAUUAACUACAGUAGUUAACUAAUGUUAAUUAAUGAAUCUUAUUGUAAAGUGCUACCAAGAUAUGCUUUGAUAUCAAUAUUUAUUACUGUUUUUAAAUGGUCAUGAGUAUCCUUACUGCUGGAAAUUCAUUAUUUUUAAAUCUACAUUUGUGUGAUGAAUUGAUGAAGAUUUUCAUUACGGUCUCAAUAACAUUUAUAAAUUUUGUCGCCCUAAAUGUUUGUCUAAAAAGUUAAUUACGAUGACUUUUAAGAAGAUUGUUUGCAAGAAUUUUAAUGUAUUCGAAAAAUGUUACUCAGACUAAAUAAAUUUGUUUUAAUUGCAUAAAAGUUCACUUUCAGAUGAAAAAAGUGAUGUAUUUUUGCAUGCUGCAGUGUUCAUUUAAGAUGUUACGUGAACCGUGCAUGCUGUUUUUGAAAAGAGAAUAACAGUCAUCAAACAGCAAAAAAAAAAAAAAAAAAACUAUAGCAGUAACUAUGUAAUUUAUUCAUGGUGCAUUGCAUGCUGGGAAUUCACAAAAGUCUUCAGAAAAGUUUCAAGAAAAAAAUUAAAAACUCAGAAAGUUUCAUAAACUGGAAAAUAUGUAGUUGUUUUUUUUUUUACUAUUAGUGUGUGUGUAAGGCUAAAAACAUUUUAAAAAGUUUUGACACUAAUUUACCUCCAUAGAUAAUGUUACAGAAGUAUUUUUGGCACCUAAUGACACUCAAUAUUUCCCUGUGGUCAGAAUGACCAGAACAUGUAACGUAUCAUUUAAAUGGUUGUAUCUCUUAAGAAAAUAAUAGUUAACAAUCUGGAAUAAA
rnacentral:lncRNA from 1 species